AAGCAGCAAGCAAGCAACAAAGGACAAGCCAAGACCACAGCUCUUUCUGUUCCUUAUGUUUUACUCACCAUUAGGACCUUCUCCAACACUUCUUUUAAACUACAGCAACAGAAAACAUGUGCACUGUUAUAACCACAGAGGGUAAUGAGAGCUUAUAGAAGCCCCCAGCCUGAGCCAACCUGGACUCCUUCAUCCCAAAUGAGGUGGCCUCUACAUUUUAUAUGAAGGCUGUGCUUCACCAUUCAGCUCUGAUCCAUCUAAUGACAUGGCAAUCCAAUACAGACAGGAAGAUAAAACUGAAGAACACAACUAAAAUUAAGUAUAUUCCCAGAAUACACAUUGUGGAAACAGGAUGAAGUUGACCAGUGAAAAGUUGCCCAAGAAUCCCUUUUAUACCUCUAUAUCUCAGUAUGCUGCUAAGUACCAAAAAUUAUUCCAAUGGAGAAAGGAAAACACUGAUCAUUACAGCCAUGCUAAUUUGGUGGAUAAAGCAUUGCAGCUCUUGAAGGAAAGAAUAAGAAGAGGGGAUGCUCUGGCUUAUUUCCUACGUGGUCAACUAUAUUUUGAUGAGGGAUGGUAUGAGGAAGCAUUAGAACAGUUUGAAGAUAUCAAGGAGACAGAUCAUCAAGCAACUUACCAGCUCGGAGUAAUGUAUUAUGAUGGGCUGGGGACCACUGCAAAUGCUGAAAAAGGAGUUGACUAUAUGAAGAGCAUUCUUGAUUCUUCAUGUCCUAAAGCAAGACAUUUAAAAUUUGCUGCUGCCUUCAACCUUGGGAGAGCUUAUUAUGAAGGAAAAGGUGUUAAACGGUCAGAUGAGGAAGCUGAAAGACUGUGGCUUUUUGCUGCAGACAAUGGAAAUCCAAAAGCUAGUGUGAAGGCUCAAAGUAUCUUAGGACUGUAUUAUUCAACAAAAGAACCCAAAGAGCUAGAAAAGGCAUUCUAUUGGCAUUCAGAAGCAUGUGGCAAUGGGAAUCUGGAGUCCCAGGGUGCCCUUGGCCUGAUGUACUUUUAUGGACAAGGCAUCCGCCAGGAUACUGAAGCUGCCCUGCAAUGCCUAAAGGAAGCUGCGGAGCGCGGGAACAUCUACGCACAAGGGAAUCUCGUGGAGUAUUAUUAUAAGAUGAAGUUCUUCACAAAGUGUGUUACGUUUUCCAAGAGGAUUGCUGACUAUGAUGAGGUUCACGACAUUCCCAUGAUAGCCCAGGUCACAGACUGUCUCCCAGAGUUCAUCAACAGAGGCGUGGCCAUGGCAUCUUUCUACUAUGCACGGUGUCUUCAGCUCGGCUUGGGCAUCACAAAAGAUGAAGCAACAGCUAAACACUAUUAUUCUAAAGCUUGCCAUCUGAAUCCUGCACUGGCAAAUGAGCUGCACUCCUUAGUUAUUCGUCAGAGAAUCUAGACCACAAUCCACUUCAACAAAGAUCAUCAAUCCUAACACCAUACAAUGUGUGUUGUUAUAGCAUCUGGCUGUUAUUGCCUAAUUUCCAAGUUUCCUUAUCCUAGUACUUCUAGAGACCAAAAUGAAGAAGGUAUUUAUUAUCACUACAUAACAGAUGAAGCCCCAGAAAACUAAGUGACUUGCUUAUAGCCUCACUAUCAAUAACAACAACAAAAAUUCUACACUCUGGACCUCUCCUAAUGCCUCUUGUAGUCUAUAAGACUUGAUGAUAUACCAAGUCCUUAAGCUUCCUGAAGUAAUUUCCUUCUUCUUUGUUUCCGUCUCAUUCUUUCAAGGUUUAGCUCAUAUUAAUACCUCAUUUUAAAGCACUAAUUUGGCUCUUUUCAUGCACUAAACAAGUCAUGUAUUUCAGAUGUUUAUUUUAUGUCUUGUGAGCGGCAGCAAACUUUUUACUUCCUUGCUGAAAUAUUUAAGUGGACAGUGUUUUUCUGCCAAAGAAAAAUACACAUAAUUAUUUG